UACGGGGGGGGCAAGCGUUGUUCGGAAUUACUGGGCGUAAAGCGCGUGUAGGCGGUCCGUUAAGUUGGUAGUGAAAUCCCAUGGCUCAACCAUGGAAGUGCUGCCAAAACUGGCGGGCUGGAGUGCCGGAGAGGGUGGCGGAAUUCCCAGUGUAGAGGUGAAAUUCGUAGAUAUUCGCAAGAACACCAGUGGCGAAGGCGGCUCACUGGCCCGGUACUGACGCUGAGGUGCGAAAGCGUGGGGAGCAAACAGG
rnacentral:rRNA from 1 species